GCAGGAAUGGCGGAAUGGCAGACGCAGCAGACUCAAAAUCUGCCGGUGGCAACAUCGUGUGGGUUCAAGUCCCAUUUCCUGCA
rnacentral:tRNA from 2 species